rnacentral:lncRNA from 1 species
UGAGACCAUACAAGGUUUGGUGAAAGCAUGGUGCUUCCCUGGUUGCCAACUACCAUGUCUGGCACAAAGGCGGUGCAAAACAUGGAUUGUUGCAACAAGAUGAAUAGAUGGCAGAAUUUGCAUUGGAUGCACCAAUUACAGCAAUUCCCACACUCUAAAUAUUGCAUGAGAGAGCAUGGAUGGGUGCGAACACAACGGUGGAUUCUCAUAUGAUGAAUGCACUCAAAUUCUGGAAGAGAGAAAGCAUGAACAGGUGCGGUCUCAUUGAAGAAAACACGAAAGGCAGUAAUAUGAUAAUAUCCACAUGAUAAUGCACUCUCACUUCAGUUAGGGCCAUGUCUUAUAACAAAUUGGAGAGUAUUAGAUGAAGUUCAGGAAGUUUGUAUUGUAAUAAUGGAAAUAAUUUGCUACUGAUAUUUACUUAGUUCUUUGUUUAUAUAUUUGACGAUUAAACCUUAGAUGUGGCAUACAAAUAUAUGUUCUUCUCAUAUAAAUGCUGCGGCAUGCAGGCCGAAAAACCACAAGUUUUCUUAUUU